AGCAGCCGCGGUAAUUCCAGCUCCAAUAGCGUAUAUUAAAGUUGUUGCAGUUAAAAGCUCGUAGUUGAAUUUCGGGAUCAAUAUAUCGGUCGUGCCUUGGUACGUACUGGUAUCAUUGGUUUCUCCUUUCUGACGAACCAUGAUGUCAUUAAUUUGGUGUUAUGGGAAGUUAGGACUGUUACUUUGAAAAAUUAGAGUGUUUAAAGCAGGCUUUGGCUUGAAUACAUUAGCAUGGAAUAAUGAAAUAGGACGUUCGAACCUAUUUUGUUGGUUUCUAGGAUCAACGUAAUGAUUAAUAGGGAUAGUUGGGGGCAUUAGUAUUCAAUUGUCAGAGGUGAAAUUCUUGGAUUUAUUGAAGACUAACUACUGCGAAAGCAUUUGCCAAGGAUGUUUUCAUUAAUCAAGAACGAAAGUUAGGGAUCGAAGACGAUCAGAUACCGUCGUAGUCUUAACCAUAAACUAUGCCGACUAGGGAUCGGAUGAUGUUAAUUUUUAAUGACUCAUUCGGCGCCUUACGGAA
rnacentral:misc_RNA from 1 species